ensembl:snRNA U6atac minor spliceosomal RNA
AUGUUGUAUGAAAGGAGAAAAGCAUGGAACAGGCUCCUAGUGGUCUGCAACACAUAUACUGUUAAGGCACUGCCAUCUACUUUGUGGCAUGUCUAACCAUGUUUUUGC